rnacentral:rRNA from 1 species
GACGAACGCUGGCGGCGUGCCUAAUACAUGCAAGUCGAGCGAAUCUCAGGGAGCUUGCUCCCUGAGAUUAGCGGCGGACGGGUGAGUAACACGUGGGUAACCUGCCUGUAAGACUGGGAUAACUUCGGGAAACCGGAGCUAAUACCGGAUACUUUCUUUUCUCGCAUGAGGGAAGAUGGAAAGAUGGUUCUGCUAUCACUUACAGAUGGACACGCGGCGCAUUAGUCAGUUGGUGAGGUAACGGUUCACCAAGGCAACGAUGCGUAGCCGACCUGAGAGGGUGUUCGGCCACACUGGGACUGAGACACGGCCCAGACUCCUACGGGAGGCAGCAGUAGGGAAUCUUCCGCAAUGGACGAAAGUCUGACGGAGCAACGCCGCGUGAGCGAAGAAGGCCUUCGGGUCGUAAAGCUCUGUUGUUAGGGAAGAACAAGUACGAGAGUAACUGCUCGUACCUUGACGGUACCUAACCAGAAAGCCACGGCUAACUACGUGCCAGCCGCCGCAGUAAAAC